rnacentral:rRNA from 1 species
AAACUAACAAGGAUUCCCCUAGUAACGGCGAGUGAAGCGGGAAGAGCUCAAAUUUGAAAUCUGGCACUUUUAGUGUCCGAGUUGUAAUCUCGAGAAGUAUUUUCCGCGUUGGACCGCACACAAGUCUGUUGGAAUACAGCGUCAUAGUGGUGAGAACCCCGUAUCUGGUGCGGAUGCCCAAUGCUUUGUGAUAUACUUUCGAAGAGUCGAGUUGUUUGGGAAUGCAGCUCAAAUUGGGUGGUAAAUUCCAUCUAAAGCUAAAUAUUGGCGAGAGACCGAUAGCGAACAAGUACCGUGAGGGAAAGAUGAAAAGCACUUUGGAAAGAGAGUUAACAGUACGUGAAAUUGUUGGAAGGGAAACGCUUGAAGUCAGACUUGCAUUUCAGAGUUCAGCCGCAAGGUGUAUUCUUUGAUUCGCAGGCCAGCAUCAGUUUUCGGGGGUGGAAAAGCGCGGUUUGAAGGUAUCAGUUUCGGCUGAGUUAUAGCUUUCCGCUGGAUUCACCUUUGGGGACUGAGGAACGCAGUACACUUUUUGCAAGAUUCGCGAGUCUUUUGUACUUAGGAUGCUGGUGGAAUGGCUUUAAACGACCC